UCACUUCCUCUCUUUGUGUUCUUUCCCUGGAGAGGUGGAUCUAGCUGAUGACUUCCUGUGAGCUGCCUGGGCACCAGUUCAAUCCUGGAACUCAGCCUUGAGGAGCUCCCUCAGACAGCUUCUUUGAGACGGUCAUGUGAAACCAAGUAGGAAAAAAUUCUC
rnacentral:lncRNA from 1 species